AGAAUCUAUACCAGAGGAUCCUCAUGGAGGAGACACUCCAGUCUGGCUCUUAAAGGCAUCAGCUCUGGGCAUCUUUCAACACUAAUGAGGCGACGAGAGGCCCAGCUGUUCUAGGAAAAGUACAAGUCGAGUCAGCAGCUGUGAAUUCCAGUUCUAGGAAUUGCAGUUGUGGGUCCUGGUGGAAACUUCCUGGAAUUCUCUCUGCCAUUCGAAGGAAAGCAAAAUAACUAUUUCAGUGACCUUAAACUCCCAGAGACUUAGGAGCAAGAGUUUGGAGGCAGCAGAGAUAGAAAGGGUUAAUAUUUUUCUCCUGUAAUUCAGUAGGUUGUUUGGCUUUUGUACUUUAUUUAAUGUCAGGGCAACUGGCAUGAGAAAGCGAGCAAGAGAGCUCGCGCCACAGACAGAAGAAGAUAGCUGUAGUGACCACAGGAAUUUUUAAAAGGGAGGUACGGUAAAAAGGUCAGAGUUUUCAGUCAUCAGCCACAACCUCUUUGUGAAAGGUCAGUGUCUGUGUCAGACCUGGGAGACACCCAUAACCAACCUCACACAACCACAGGGCCAUGAAUAAAAGGACUCAGAAAGCCACCAACAGAAAAUGGUGCUGUUGUGUAAGCUGUAACUCAAGACAGCAGGUGCCACCUGGCACUAUGUUGCCUCUGUUAAUUGUUCACCCAUUCUGAGCCCAGUCAGGGAUUUGUCACUUGCUCUCUCCAAACAGGAAAUGAUGGGGAGAUUUCUCCAGUAACCGUGCAGAGCAAUUAAGGAAACAGACUCAGCAUGGCAUGUACAAAGUAACCCUGUUUUCCUCACUGUCGGCAGCCAUACGCACAUCUGCUCCUCAGUCUGGGGGAGGAGUGUUCUCACCAUCCUGAGUUAUUUUAAUAGUCCAUCUCCCUUCUGUGCAGCACCACGUAGACACCAUGUUUGACUUAAAAUCAGCAGCGGCAUUAGGGGGGAAAAGUUUGACAAGUGGGCAUUCAGCUCAAAAGCACUGUCAUAGGUUACAUGCAGCCCUGUUACAAGUGUACACAUUAGUACCUAUUUUUCUUCUCUUACAAGUUUUAACUCCCAAAGGGUCGGCAGCCCCUCUUAACAGAUUCUGAAAGAGAUACUUUAGCUCUGCCAUAGGUUAUUGAGCUUGAGGCAGGAAUUACGGUUUGAAAUUCUCUGGCCUAUGUUAUGCAAGAGGUCAAACUAGAUGCUCAGAAUAGUCCCUUCCAGCCUUAAUAUCAAAGGAUCUAUUCAUUUAACCUGGCUGUUUCCACUCAGCACUUGUUCCUUAGUUUACAUUUGCCCCCAGUCACCCUUUGUGGGUCAGAUGAUAGAUUUUGGGGACUUCACAUCCAAACCGAGACCUUAACCCCCUUCUUGCAUUUCAUUGUGUGUCUGUACAUAAUGGGAUGGGUUUGCUAUGAGAUGGCAACUGACACUAGACAAACUCGGGCUGGAAAUAAGGUAUACAUUUGUAACAGUGAAGGUAAUUAAUCAUUGGAACAACUUAACCAGGAUCGUGGUGGAUUCUCCAUCACUUGCAAUUUUUAAAUUAAAAUUGGAUUUAAAAAAAAAAAAGAUCUGCUCUAGUUUGAAAUGAAUUAUUAUGGGGAAGUCCUGUGCUAUACAGAAGGUCAGACUGGAUGAUCAGAGCGGUCCCUUCUGGCCUUGGAAUUGCAUUUCACUGCAGCUAAAUGAGAACCCAGGCUCCUUGUGGCAUCCUAGGCAGCAGUUCUACUAGGUGAACCAAAGGGCACCCUCCCAUUGGCCAAGCCAGCAGGAGCCAUGCUGAGCUGCUGUCAGGAGAAGCAGCUCAUGCAUUCUGGGUCUUCACUCUUUCCCCUUCAUUAUUUUCUCCCUAAUGUGCUCAGAUACCACAGUGAUGUGAGCUUGAUUGAUAACGAUGCUGUGGCGCACCUCCUUUGUGGCACACCUCUCCCGAGUCUGUGCUGCUGCUGAGUUGGUGCAAUGCCCAGUAUAAGGGGCUGCUUUCACCUAUAUCACAAAAGCUGUUGGUGGACUGUGUUAGACUACAAUCUUCAUUCCAUCCCUGGCAUGGCCCCUCCCUCCCAGCAAACCCCCGAUACUCCUGUUUGUGAGACAGGCAAGUAGGGAUGCUCGUGCUAGGGAAAUUGUUUCUAGGGCCCUCACAGUGCAUGUAUGCGGCUGUAAUGGUGUACAUGGGUCAAAGCAGGAGAAAGAAUAUCUCCCAUAAAGUUACCCCUUAAUUGUUAAUUUGUAGAUCUGUAACCUCUCCUCUAUCUCCUUUCAUAUCCUCCUGGCUUCAAGCGUCUUUAUUUUCAUUUCUUACCCCAGUUUUUUCUCUGCAUUUCCCUCACCCUCUUUUCUUUGUUCUUCUCUUUUUUUCUCCUGUGUGUGUGUGUGGGGGGGGGGGGUGUUUAAAAUAAUUUGCCUUUGCUGCUUGUUUCUUUCCUUUUGAGAAAAGAACAGGAUGGAGAUCAGGCCAGUCAAACAAUUUCAUACUGAGUUUAAAAGCAAACCAAACCCAGGUUUCUUUGUGUUUCAGUUCCUUUUGCUAGUGUAAGUAGGUGCAGGUGGCACAUUUUACAAAUCUGCUCAGUAGAAUGCAAAGUUAUUAGCAGCUAAUGCUCAUGUUGGUGAAGAGCCCAUCAAGGCUUCAGAUAUUUACAUGCAAGAAAGUCUCCAAUAGUGAUUUUUUUAAAGGAAAACUUUUUGCCUUUAUGGCAAACUAAAAACAGAUAGAAGCUAUGAAGUGACAGUCAGUGUGAUGAAUUCAUAUAUUCCAAGGCUGGAAGGAACCAGUGUGAUCAUCUAGUCUGACCUCCUGUAUAACACAGGCCAUAGAACUCCCCCAAAAUAAUUCCUAGAGUAGAUCUUUUAGGAAAUCAUUCAAUCUUGAUUUAAAAGUUAUAAGUGAUGGAAAAUCCACCACAACUCUUGAUAAAUUCUUCCAGUGCUAAUUACCCUCGCUGUUAAAAAUUUACACCUUAUUUCCAAUCUGAAUUUUGCUAGCUUCAACUUCCAGCCAUUAAAUCAUGUUAUACCUUUCUCUGCUAGAUUGAAGAGCCCAUUAUGAAAUCCUUGUUUCCCAUGUAGGUACAUAUAGCCUGUAAUCAAGUCACCCCUUAACCUUAUUUUUGUUAACCCAAAUUGAGCUCUUAGAGUGUGUCACUAUAAGGCAUGUUUUCUAAUCCUUUAAUCAGUCUCAUGGCUCUUCUCUGAAACCUCUCCAGUUUACUCUCCAGUGAACUAUGUCCAGUUCUGCUGCUCACUCAAGAUUCCCCUGUUUAUAUAUCCACAGAUCGCAUUAACCGUUUUGGCUGCAGCAUAGCACUGUGAGCUUGUGUUUAGCUGAUGAUCCACCACAACCCCCAAUCUUUUUCAGAGUCACUGCUUCCUAGGACAGAGUUCCCUAUCUUGCAACCUGACAGAGAAAGGGAGGGAAGAGGAAAGCUGCACACAGCUUCUGCCAGGUCACUCAUCAUCUGAUUCCUGGAGCUCCCAGCCUCCUGCUUGUCAAAGGCACCAGCUAACCACUCCGUGUUUCAAUAAAGACAUUGUAUCAGGGGUAUUCUUGGAGGGGAUCCAAGAGAUACUUCAGCUUGGCUCUGACCAUCUUAAACCUGUAGGUCACACACUCCUUACCCCACCCCACAUUCUCUCUUUCUUACCUACACCAUCAAUUUUGUUCCUGUCUUUGGGAUAUUUCUCUUCACGUGUUUAUCUUUGGUUCGCUAACAGACAGACUUUGAAUUGCAACUUUCAGCCCCUACUGUCCUUAUACUUUUGAGGUGUUCUGAUCAUAGGGUUGAAUCUGGCCCAUUAUGGAAAGAGGAUUUGGUUUCCACCCUCACCAGCACCCAGACUUUGAUGAAUGCUGGGAUAUGGGGGGCGAGGGAUGGUUCAGGCACAUAUCAAGUUUCUUGUUUCUAAAAUCCAAAUGUCUCUUAACUGGUGGGUUGAGACAAAUUCCACCUGUCAUUUCAGAGAAUGGAGAAAUAGCCCCUCAUCUGAGGGCUGGGCAGGUAUGUGAAAUGUAACAUUAAAUAACAAAGCAAUAUACACUCUGGUUUUGGAAUUACAGGCAGAUGGAAUUGGGGAGCUGAAACCUGCUCUCUAGCCUACAUGCUGUCUCUUUAUGUUCUUGCCAAGCACAUCUUGCAUCUUUAUCUUCCCUAGUCCCUGUGGGGGAACUACAGGGAAUGAUGGAAGCCGUUCUCUUCUCCUGCUUCCAAAGCAAACUCCUCUCAUUUUUGAGUCAUGACUCAGAAUGCUGUGUGGCUUAUGAGGAAGUGAUCAAACAGCUGGCACCUACAAUUUGGGCUCCCUUACUUAGACUCACUUUAGGAAUCCAGCUGGAGUCUAAAUACAGCAGGUCAUAUUCAUCCCUGGUGAACCUCCCAUUGACAUCAGUGAAGUUAUAUCAGGGAUUAAUUUGGCUCACUGAUUGUACAGUAUUUCAAAACCAAAACUGAGGCACUCUCUGGCUCUGAGGCUAUGGUGCAUGAAGCAUUUUUCCUGGAGAGCACAACUAGGCUGGUAGUGACUGAAAGCUGUCACCACCCGAGCAAAGGCUGUUUCAGAAGUUACUUGGUGAGCUCAUUCCUAUUCCUAGCAAUCUGGUGUCAAUAUCGUCGCUGUUAGUCUCUGGUCAAGGACUAAAUGGAAUAAAAGAUGAAAUUAUCUUCUUGCCUCCAGAGGUGUUCCCUCCAGAUUUAGUGUGAGCAACAUGCCAAUACUUAUGUUAUACCUCAUUUAUGGAUAAAGAGCUUCAGGGCUGUCAAGCCAAAAAAUUUUCUCAAUACCAAAUAUUAAUUCUCCACUUAGCCACUGAGAAAUCUGAAAAAGGUACACACUUCUUUCUCCCAUAGAUUACACUAGCACCCAGCAAUGCAUGA